UUUCUUGCGCCGGCAUGAACGGAUCACAUUGAUAAAGUGAAAUAUGAAGGCUCAACCCUUUCAAGGAUA
rnacentral:tRNA from 1 species